rnacentral:rRNA from 1 species
AACGCGAAGAACCUUACCGAGGCUUGACAUCCCUUGAAAGCCGCAGAAAUGCGGUUUCCGUCGCAAGACGGCAAGGAGACAGGUGCUGCAUGGCUGUCGUCAGCUCGUGCCGUGAGGUGUUGGGUUAAGUCCCGCAACGAGCGCAACCCUCGUUUUGUGUUGGUCCGCAAGGAUCUCUCACAAGAGACCGCCGGUGAGAAGCCGGAGGAAGGUGGGGAUGACGUCAAGUCAGCAUGGCCCUUACGUCUCGGGCUACACACGUGCUACAAUGGGUGAGACAACGAGUUCCAAGCUCGCGAGGGUAAGGCAAUCUCUUAAACUCAUCCUCAGUUCGGAUUGAAGGCUGCAACUCGCCUUCAUGAAGUCGGAAUCGCUAGUAAACGCAGAUCAGCUACGCUGCGUUGAAUACGUUCCCGGGCCUUGUA